rnacentral:rRNA from 1 species
CGGCGGACGGGUGAGUAACGCGUGGGUAACCGUGCCUCAUACAGGGGGAUAACAGUUGGAAACGGCUGCUAAUACCGCAUAAGCGCACAGUACCGCAUGGUACGGUGUGAAAAACUCCGGUGGUAUGAGAUGGACCCGCGCUGAUUAGGUAGUUGGUGGGAUAACGGCCUACCAAGCCGACGAUCAGUAGCCGACCUGAGAGGGUGACCGGCCACAUUGGGACUGAGACACGGCCCAA